GUGGGGAAUUUUGGACAAUGGGCGCAAGCCUGAUCCAGCAAUGCCGCGUGCAGGAAGAAGGCCUUCGGGUUGUAAACUGCUUUUGUACGGAACGAAACGGUCCGGGUUAAUACCCUGGGCUAAUGACGGUACCGUAAGAAUAAGCACCGGCUAACUACGUGCCAGCAGCCGCGGUAAUACGUAGGGUGCAAGCGUUAAUCGGAAUUACUGGGCGUAAAGUGUGCGCAGGCGGUUUUGUAAGACAGGCGUGAAAUCCCCGGGCUCAACCUGGGAAUUGCGCUUGUGACUGCAAGGCUGGAGUGCGGCAGAGGGGGAUGGAAUUCCGCGUGUAGCAGUGAAAUGCGUAGAUAUGCGGAGGAACACCGAUGGCGAAGGCAAUCCCCUGGGCCUGCACUGACGCUCAUGCACGAAAGCGUGGGGAGCAAACAGGAUUAGAAACCCCUGUAGUCC
rnacentral:rRNA from 1 species